ACGGAGAGAACAACAGGGAUUGCCUUAGUAACUGCGAGUGAAGCGGCAAAAGCUCAAAUUUGAAAUCUGACGUUUUUGACGUUCGAAUUGUAAUUUGGAGGGAUAUCUUCGGAGCAGGCGCUGUCCUAAGUUCUUUGGAACCAGACAUCAUAGAGGGUGAGAAUCCCGUGCCUGGGUGGCUGUCCCGCUCCAUGUGAAGUGUCUCCGACGAGUCGAGUUGUUUGGGAAUGCAGCUCAAAAUGGGUGGUAAAUUUCAUCUAAAGCUAAAUAUUGGCGAGAGACCGAUAGCGCACAAGUAGAGUGAUCGAAAGAUGAAAAGCACUUUGAAAAGAGAGUUAAACAGUACGUGAAAUUGUUGAAAGGGAAGCGCUUGAGACUAGAUUCGACUGGCGGUCAUCAGCUACGUUUUUGCGUGGUGCACUUGCCGUCGGUUGAGCCAGCAUCGGUUUCGAUGGCGGGAUAAAGGUUUCAGGAAUGUGGCUCCUCAAUUUUGAGGAGUGUUAUAGCCUGGAGCGCAAUGCUGCCUGUCGGGACCGAGGACCGCGCUUUUGCUAGGAUGCUGGCUAAAAGGUCUUAAGCGGCCCGUCUUGAAACACGGACCAAGGAGUCUAACAUCUAUGCGAGUGUUCGGGUGGAAAACCCUUGCGCGUAAUGAAAGUGAACGGAGGUGGGAACCCCUUUGGGGUGCACCAUCGACCGAUCCCGAUGUUUACGGAAGGAUUUGAGUAGGAGCAUAGCUGUUGGGACCCGAAAGAUGGUGAACUAUGCCUGAAUAGGGUGAAGCCAGAGGAAACCUUGGUGGAAGCUCGCAGCGGUUCUGACGUGCAAAUCGAUCGUCAAAUUUGGGUAUAGGGGCGAAAGACUAAUCGAACCAUCAGUUGUUC
rnacentral:rRNA from 1 species